AUCACUGGGAGCGGCCCACUGGGCCAGAGCGACAUUGCAGGGACCAACGCACACGUGGAGAUCAGAGAGUUCAUGCUCCUCCCCCAGCCCCUGCUCUCUGCCAACAAACUCUCUAGAAAUACCGGGAUCCCCAGCCCAGCACCUCACCGGCCUCCAGCCUCCCUCUCUGCUCCUCUGCUCUGCAGCCCUGCUGAGACCCCAGCCCCCUCCAGCCAUGAGGAUCCUCCACCUGGUGUUUGCUGUUCUCCUGCUGGUCUCCUUGGCUGCUCCAGGCCUAGGGCAGAAGAAGGGCUGCGCUGGUCGCUGCGACUGGAAAUGCGGCAAAUACGAGUAUGAGACCUACACGUACGACUGCCCCAAGUCCUACUGCUGCCUCCCCCUCUUCAAAUGGAAAUGAGCCCGGAGGGAUCCACCCGCCCUGGACCAGGAGCAGCCGCGGCAGCGGGUCCCCGACUCCCCACAGAAAUGUCGUUCCCUCCCCCCAUUAAACGAGAGCAGGCCUGGC